rnacentral:rRNA from 1 species
UACGAAGGGGGCUAGCGUUGCUCGGAAUCACUGGGCGUAAAGGGUGCGUAGGCGGGUCUUUAAGUCAGGGGUGAAAUCCUGGAGCUCAACUCCAGAACUGCCUUUGAUACUGAAGAUCUUGAGUUCGGGAGAAGUGAGUGGAACUGCGAGUGUAGAGGUGAAAUUCGUAGAUAUUCGCAAGAACACCAGUGGCGAAGGCGGCUCUCUGGGACGGUACUGACGCUGAGACGCGAAAGCGUGGGGAGCGAACAGG